rnacentral:rRNA from 1 species
GUGCGUAACGCGUAUACAAUCUGCCUUUCACUGGGGGAUAGCCCGAAGAAAUUUGGAUUAAUACCCCAUAGUAUAGUAGUGUGGCAUCACACAACUAUUAAAGCCUUGGUGGUGAAAGAUGAGUAUGCGUUCUAUUAGCUAGUUGGAGAGGUAACGGCUCCCCAAGGCGAUGAUAGAUAGGGGUUCUGAGAGGGAUGUCCCCCACACUGGUACUGAGAUACGGACCAGACUCCUACGGGAGGCAGCAGUGAGGAAUAUUGGACAAUGGUCGGAAGACUGAUCCAGCCAUGCCGCGUGCAGGAUGACGGCCUUAUGGGUUGUAAACUGCU